rnacentral:rRNA from 1 species
AAAGGCAUGAUGGCCUGUACCCGAAACCGACACAGGUGGGGUGGUAGAGAAUACCGAGGGGCGCGAGAUAACUCUCUCUAAGGAACUCGGCAAAAUGGCCCCGUAACUUCGGGAGAAGGGGUGCCACCGCAAGGUGGUCGCAGUGAAGAGGCCCAGGCGACUGUUUACCAAAAACACAGGUCUCCGCUAAGUCGCAAGACGAUGUAUGGGGGCUGACGCCUGCCCAGUGCCGGAAGGUUAAGGAAGCUGGUCAGCGCAAGCGAAGCUAGCGACUGAAGCCCCGGUGAACGGCGGCCGUAACAAUAACGGUCCUAAGGUAGCGAAAUUCCUUGUCGGGUAAGUUCCGACCCGCACGAAAGGCGUAACGAUCUGGGCGCUGUCUCGGAGAGAGGCUCGGCGAAAUAGAAUUGUCUGUGAAGAUGCGGACUACGUGCACCCGGACAGAAAGACCCUAUGAAGCUUUACUGUAGCUUGGUAUUGUGCUCGGGCUCGGAAUGCGCAGGAUAGGUGGGAGGCUAUGAACCAUUGCUUGUGGGUGAUGGUGAGCCACUGGUGAGAUACCACUCUUUCCGAGCUAGAGUUCUAACAGCCACCCGUUAUCCGGGGGCUGGACAGUAUCAGGUGGGCAGUUUGACUGGGGCGGUCGCCUCCUAAAAGGUAAUGGAGGCGCGCAAAGGUUUGCUCAGGCUGGUUGGAAAUCAGCCGACGAGUGUAAAAGCAGAAGCAAGCUCACUGUGAGACCUACAAGUCGAACAGGGAGGAAACUCGGCUAUAGUGAUCCGACGGUUCUGCGUGGAAGGGCCGUCGCUCAACGGAUAAAAGUUACUCUAGGAUAACAGGCUGAUCUCCCCCAAGAGUUCACAUCGACGGGGAGGUUUGGCACCUCGAUGUCGGCUCAUCGCAACCUGGGGCUGAAGUCGGUCCCAAGGGUUGGGCUGUUCGCCCAUUAAAGCGGUACGCGAGCUGGGUUCAGAACGUCGUGAGACAGUUCGGUCCAUAUCCGGUGCAUGCGCAGGAAUAUUGAGAGGAUUUCUCCCUAGUACGAGAGGACCGGGAGGAACGCACCUCUGGUGUACCAGUUAUCGUGCCAACGGUAAACGCUGGGUAGCCAUGUGCGGAGAGGAUAACCGCUGAAAGCAUCUAAGUGGGAAGCCCACCUCAAGAUGAGUAUUCCCAUGGGGUAACCCAGUAAGGUCACGGGAAGAACACCCGUUGAUAGGCUCUACGUGGAAGCGCAGUAAUGUGUGAAGCGGAGGAGUACUAAUAGACCGAGGGCUU